rnacentral:rRNA from 1 species
UACGUAGGGAGCAAGCGUUGUCCGGAAUCAUUGGGCGUAAAGCGCGCGUAGGUGGCCUCAUAAGUCCGCUGUGAAAGUCAAAGGCUCAACCUUUGAAAGCCGGUGGAUACUGUGAGGCUAGAGUACGGAAGAGGCGAGUGGAAUUCCUGGUGUAGCGGUGGAAUGCGCAGAUAUCAGGAGGAACACCAAUAGCGAAGGCAGGUCUCUGGGCUGACACUGACGCUCAUGCACGAAAGCGUGGGGAGCAAACAGG